AGUCACUGACAUUAGAUACCCGGGUAGUCCAGGGUGUAAACGCUGCAGACUUGGUGUUGGAGGCCCUUUGGGGGCAUUCAGUGCCGGAGAGAAGUUGUUAAGUCUGCUACUUGGGAGUACGCCCGCAAGGAUGAAACUUAAAGGAAUUGGCGGGGGAGCACCGCAACGGGAGGAGCGUGCGGUUUAAUUGGAUUCAACACCGUAAACUCACCAGGGAAGACUGUUACAUGAAGGCCGAGAUGAAGACUCUGCUAGAUUUUCAG
rnacentral:rRNA from 1 species